rnacentral:rRNA from 1 species
UGGUCCCAGCAGCCGGGGUAAUACGAAGGGGGCAAGCGUUAUUGGGAUUUAUGGGGGGUAAAGGGAGCGUAGGGGUUUAUUAAAGUCAGGGGUGAAAUCCCGGGGCUCACCUUGGGAAUUGCUUUUGAUAUUGCAAGUUUGGAGUAUGAGAGAGGUGGGUGAAAUUCCGAGUGUAGGGGUGAAAUUGGUAGAUAUUGGGAGAAACACCAGUGGGGAAGGCGCCACCUUGGCUCAUUACUGACGUUGAGGCUGAAAAGCGUGGGGACCAACCAGGAUUAGAUCCCCUGGUAGUCCACCCCGUA